UUUCCGUAGGUGAACCUGCGGAAGGAUCAUUAUUGUAUAACCGAGGUGCGAGGGCUGUCGCUGACCCGAAAGGUCGUGCACGCCCGAGUGCCCUCACACACAUCCAUCUCACCCCUAUGUGCACCACCGCGUGGGUCCCCCUUUGGCUUGUUCGGAGGGGGGCUUACGUUUUCACACAAACUUUGUAUGCAGUGUAGAAUGUAUUUUUUGUUUUUGCGAUCACGCAAUCAAUACAACUUUCAACAACGGAUCUCUUGGCUCUCGCAUCGAUGAAGAACGCAGA
rnacentral:misc_RNA from 1 species